GGAGGAGUGGCCGAGCGGUUUAAGGCGGUGGUCUUGAAAACCACUGUGCCGUAACUGGCACCGGGGGUUCGAAUCCCUCCUCCUCCGCCA
rnacentral:tRNA from 1 species